AUAACCCUAAAUAUAAGCUUCAGCCGACGGCUCCAUCUUCACCAUCGCCAAUCUCCCAGCUCCUCGCUGUCGCCUCCAUCUUCACCGUCGACCCAGCCGCGCCCACUCCCAGUUCCCCGUCGACCCAGCCGCUCUCCAACAGAUCUGAAGCCACAGGCGACGCCGCCGAACCGCCCUUCCUCCGCUGGCGCUGCCUCACUCGCGACCGCUAAACGCCACCGCCACCACCCCGGAGCUGCCUCACUCGCCGGAGCUGCCAUCCUUCACCAGCUGCUACGAUAGCUGUUUAAAGAAGGAAGAAUGGCAUUAGUUCCUGAAUCUGAGCAGCUUGGGAAGAUUUCCCUUCUGAAGGUGAGCCUACACUGGUAAAGCUAAACCAGUCACAACUUUUGAAAGGGUUUAGAUUCAACUAACCUAGUAGAUCAGGAGGAACCAGAGAACUAAACUGCUAACCAUAUAUGUCUUCAGCCUUGGGGUGAACUAUGGAGAGUAGAAAACAGUAAGUAAAACAUUCUUUUUGUAACUUGUUUUUAAGAUUUCAUUUAUGUUAUCAUACAUUUUAUAACACGGCCCUAGUUUUUACAUGGUACUUCUUUUAUUUUUGCAUGUGUCUGGAUUUAUCUGCUGAUUUUGUCACUGCUUUAAGUGAAGCUUAUGAAUGAAUAUGCGCUACUGGCUUUGUGGAUUUGAUGUUUACUUCAUCAAUAUUGGUUUCCAUGUUUUUCCUUAAGUGAAGUGCAUGCUCUUUUGAGUUCUGAACUAUAGUGAGAAUGAUUGAUUAUUUACCUUCUACUUUUAACUUAUGUGAGCAAAGAACUGAUGGAAUGAUAAUACUAUUUUUUUUUUUGAAACAUGGAAUGAUAAUACUAUAAUAGUGUAAAAUUUGUAGUUUCCUUGACAGUGGUUUGUGCAUAUAGUUGAUACUUUUUGGUGUUGCAUGGUCGUUGGUAGAUAUUUCUUAGUAUUUCUUAUUUAAUUCUUUAUAUUUCUUAUAAGGACAUAUAUCUUAUUUUUGAGGCAAAUGAGGAUUGUAACUGCUACAGCUAUGAUGCUAAAAAAAGCUAGGAUAUCUGUUGCAGCGACAGCAGGAGUAUAUUUAUUGCAAUUAUUGGCAGGUUUAAUCUAUGUGGAAGUUUACAUGAAGAGGAAAAAGGAAGGUCUCAUUGUCGCCAACUUCUGUAAAUUGUAAUUUCAUUCUUCUCUUUUGUAGCUUUCAAUUAUUUUUUAAUUUAGAACUGUAAAUUUGUAAUUUCAUUCAAGUAUUUUAAUUUUUGAGAAUGAAGUAUUGUAAUGUUUGAAAAUGUAAUUUCAUAGUGUUUGUAUUGAGAGAUUAUACGGUGUAUAAAAGGGAAUAUUGUUGUUU